GAUGAACGCUGGCGGCGUGCCUAAUACAUGCAAGUCGAGCGAACAGACGAGGAGCUUGCUCCUCUGACGUUAGCGGCGGACGGGUGAGUAACACGUGGAUAACCUACCUAUAAGACUGGGAUAACUUCGGGAAACCGGAGCUAAUACCGGAUAAUAUAUUGAACCGCAUGGUUCAAUAGUGAAAGACGGUAUUGCUGUCACUUAUAGAUGGAUCCGCGCCGCAUUAGCUAGUUGGUAAGGUAACGGCUUACCAAGGCAACGAUGCGUAGCCGACCUGAGAGGGUGAUCGGCCACACUGGAACUGAGACACGGUCCAGACUCCUACGGGAGGCAGCAGUAGGGAAUCUUCCGCAAUGGGCGAAAGCCUGACGGAGAACGCCGCGUGAGUGAUGAAGGUCUUCGGAUCGUAAAACUCUGUUAUUAGGGAAGAACAAAUGUGUAAGUAACUAUGCACGUCUUGACGGUACCUAAUCAGAAAGCCACGGCUAACUACGUG
rnacentral:rRNA from 1 species